AAAUCCUUAUUUGCUGUAGCCUCAGACUUUGCUGCUCUGUUGUUAUUGCUGUGCUUUCCAUUGCAUCAUACAGAGUUUUCUGGGAAAAUGGAAUAAUAGCCAACAUUAGUUAUUUAUUUUUUUUUAAUUUAGUUACAUAUACACAGCAAUUAGCUUCUAGCUUAUAUACACGGUAUGCUUUUCUAUUUCAUAGUGAGGGUGUAUUUUUAUAGGAUAAAUGCUUGGGAACUAAAGUGUGUGGCCUGAGCUGCUUUAAGACUAAACAGAGCUUUAAGAAGCUUUUUAGUUGUUUGUUUCUCUAUUGAAGAUGCACUUUCUGACAGCAAGUGCUAAGGCUUGUUGAAGUGAGACUUUUGACUAAUAUUAAAUGACUAAUGGUGCUCUUAUGAUCAAUUAUUGAAGCUUGCAUGAGAGAAAAGAGACUUCCGAACAACUAGUUUUUAAUAACAGUUCAUCUACUCUGCUCUUCCCCUGCUGAGGAAUGUAUGAUAUACCUUCUCCGUGCUGUGCUGGUGUUGUAUGAGAGGAGGAGAAAUAAUUUAUGAGCCUGCUGGAAGAAUUUGCCUCUUAUUCUAGGGAUUAAAAGAAAAAUAGCGUACUGUUGAUAAGACCUACAUAAGCUCCAAAUGGUCAGCAGAGGUCUUGAGAGAGGAUGUGCUGUAUGAGUGGCUUGUUUGUCCUAGUGCAUGUCUUCCCCAGCCCUUACUGGGUGACGCUGGAGGAACAUCCAUUGCCAUAACAGAUCCACUCAACCAUAUGAAAGCAAGCAGCCUGUUUGAUCAAGUGUGUGGGGAGAAGUUAAGAGGGUAUCCAGCUCCCAGCUAUGAGAACAGAUGUUUUGGAGAGGAGUCAUGGUUUUAUUUCCACCUGUGAAGCAAGGAGGGGUAAAGGAAACUGCUUCUUCCAUGAUAUAGGAAGAGAAUUUCCAUCCAUGUUACUUCUCUCAAAUGGAUCUACCUGUAUCUCAGGUCCUACUUUGUCUGGGGCAGCAACGUGUCUGGUCUUCCAGUCAAUGCUUGCAAAGCUCAUACAUUAAUAAGAAAGUAAUUAAGUCCUAUAGAGUUUCCUAUAGCCCCGGUAUCAGCAU
ensembl:lncRNA